rnacentral:misc_RNA from 1 species
AAGUCGUAACAAGGUCUCCGUAGGUGAACCUGCGGAGGGAUCAUUACUGAGUUCGGGGGCAAUCCCAGUCCCGACCUCCAACCCUUUGUGAACACAUCUUGUUGCUUCGGGGGCGACCCUGCCGUUCGCGGCAUUCCCCCCGGAGGUCAUCAAAACACUGCAUUAUUACGUCGGAGUAAAAAGUUAAUUUAAUAAAACUUUCAACAACGGAUCUCUUGGUUCUG